UGUUAAUUUAGUUUAAUCGUGUUGAUCAAAUUAUACGUAAGGGCCUUAUUUUUUUUAAGUAUUUUAAUGUAAAAUAACAUAGGAACACGACGUGUUUUGAUGAAACUCUUGAGGGAACAGGACAAGCUGGAUUACAGGCUGAAUCUGUCCUCUGAGAAAGCGAACCAUCAAUACGAAGUAUUGAAUAAAAAAAGAA
rnacentral:ncRNA from 1 species